rnacentral:pre_miRNA from 1 species
AGGAGGAACAACCGGCAGUGGCAGCGGCAUCUCUGGAGCCCUGGAUUCAGCUCCCGCAGUAACUGUGCAGAGCUCUCCGUCUGCAGGGCCUGGAGGCUCCGGGGCGGG